CGCAGCAGGUGCUGGUGGGUCUGGUGGUGCCGGUGGCACCUCGGCGAACUCGGGUGCCACGGGUGCUUCAGGUUCCACCGGCCUGUUGUUGCGA
rnacentral:tRNA from 1 species